GUCUUUUUGAUUUUAAUUUAAAGUCUAACCUGCCCAAUGAAUAAUUUAAUGGCUGCAGUAUUUUGACUGUACAAAGGUAGCAUAAUCAUUAGUUUUUUAAUUGAAAACUGGAAUGAAGGGUUGAAUGAGAAAUUUACUGUCUUAAAUUUAAUUUAAUAGAAAUUUAUUUUUAAGUUAAAAAGCUUAAAUAAUUUUUAAAGACGAGAAGACCCUAUAGAAUUUGAUAAAAUUUAUAUUUAUAAGUUUAAGUUUAAAUAAUUAUAAAUAUAUAAUUUAUUUAAUUGGGGUGAUUAUAAAAUUAAAGUAACUUUUAUUUUAAUAAAUCAAUAAUUUUUGUUUACUUGAUCCAUAAAAAUGAUUAUAAGAUUAAAUUACCUUAGGGAUAACAGCGUAAUUUUAUUAGAAAGUUCAAAUUGAAAAUAAAGAUUGCGACCUCGAUGUUGGAUUAAAAUUAAUAAUUGGUGAAGAAGCUGAUUUAUUAGGUCUGUUCGACCUUUAAAAUUUUACA
rnacentral:rRNA from 1 species